rnacentral:lncRNA from 1 species
UGUAGAAAUGAACGUUAGCAACGAACUGUCUGAAAAACAGAACUCCACCAGGAUGUUGGUCCUCAGUACAGGGGUGUGGUACCGGAGAAUCAAGCACCAAAUAAAACUAAGGGAGAAGAUGCUCCGUAAUUGUUGAUGAUGAAGCAGAAAUGUCUUCAGAAGGGAGGCAAGCCUCUGCUGCUCACGAGCCCUCUGUCCCAGAUGGACGUCCCCAGGCUACCUGCCGCUUGUUAAGGUCAUCCCACAGCAGCUUUUCAGGGUUAAUAAACAGAUCUCCUUGCUGGAAUUGAACAUGGGCAACGGAAGCCCUGGAAAGUAAAAGCAAAGGCAAGCGUGAAGUGCCGGGAGACAGAAGCUGGAGCUUCUCUGCACAGUUCUGAACUGAGACAGUUCCAGGUCCAGGAAGCAGCCUGAUGGACACAUUCUUGCCCACAAGGCAUCUAGA